GGCUCUGUGGUGCAAUUGAGAGCACAUUGGACUUCUAGGCCUUGAUAGAAUGAAAUCCUUCAAAGGUUGUGGGUUCAAGCCCCACCAGAGUUA
rnacentral:tRNA from 1 species